GGCGGCGUGCUUAACACAUGCAAGUCGAACGGAAAGGCCCUGCUUUUGUGGGGUGCUCGAGUGGCGAACGGGUGAGUAACACGUGAGUAACCUGCCCUUGACUUUGGGAUAACUUCAGGAAACUGGGGCUAAUACCGGAUAGGAGCUCCUGCUGCAUGGUGGGGGUUGGAAAGUUUCGGCGGUUGGGGAUGGACUCGCGGCUUAUCAGCUUGUUGGUGGGGUAGUGGCUUACCAAGGCUUUGACGGGUAGCCGGCCUGAGAGGGUGACCGGCCACAUUGGGACUGAGAUACGGCCCAGACUCCUACGGGAGGCAGCAGUGGGGAAUAUUGCACAAUGGGCGGAAGCCUGAUGCAGCAACGCCGCGUGCGGGAUGACGGCCUUCGGGUUGUAAACCGCUUUCGCCUGUGACGAAGCGUGAGUGACGGUAAUGGGUAAAGAAGCACCGGCUAACUACGUGCCAGCAGCCGCGGUGAUACGUAGGGUGCGAGCGUUGUCCGGAUUUAUUGGGCGUAAAGGGCUCGUAGGUGGUUGAUCGCGUCGGAAGUGUAAUCUUGGGGCUUAACCCUGAGCGUGCUUUCGAUACGGGUUGACUUGAGGAAGGUAGGGGAGAAUGGAAUUCCUGGUGGAGCGGUGGAAUGCGCAGAUAUCAGGAGGAACACCAGUGGCGAAGGCGGUUCUCUGGGCCUUUCCUGACGCUGAGGAGCGAAAGCGUGGGGAGCGAACAGGCUUAGAUACCCUGGUAGUCCACGCUGUAAACGGUGGGUACUAGGUGUGGGGUCCAUUCCACGGGUUCCGUGCCGUAGCUAACGCUUUAAGUACCCCGCCUGGGGAGUACGGCCGCAAGGCUAAAACUCAAAGGAAUUGACGGGGCCCCGCACAAGCGGCGGAGCAUGCGGAUUAAUUCGAUGCAACGCGUAGAACCUUACCUGGGUUUGACAUGGAUCGGGAGUGCUCAGAGAUGGGUGUGCCUCUUUUGGGGUCGGUUCACAGGUGGUGCAUGCCUGUCGUCAGCUCGUGUCGUGAGAUGUUGGGUUAAGUCCCGCAACGAGCGCAACCCUUGUUCACUGUUGCCAGCACGUUAUGGUGGGGACUCAGUGGAGACCGCCGGGGUCAACUCGGAGGAAGGUGGGGAUGACGUCAAGUCCUCAUGCCCCUUAUGUCCAGGGCUUCACGCAUGCUACAAUGGCUGGUACAGAGAGUGGCGAGCCUGUGAGGGUGAGCGAAUCUCGGAAAGCCGGUCUCAGUUCGGAUUGGGGUCUGCAACUCGACCUCAUGAAGUCGGAGUCGCUAGUAAUCGCAGAUCAGCAACGCUGCGGUGAAUACGUUCCCGGGGCUUGUACACACCGCCCGUCAAGUCAUGAAAGUUGGUAACACCCGAAGCCGGUGGCCUAACCGUUGUGGGGGAGCCGUCGAAGGUGGGACUGGUGAUUAGGACUAAGUCAUAACAAGG
rnacentral:rRNA from 1 species